CAAGUCUCAAGCUCUGCUUGGUGUUGGGCGUCUGUCCGCGCACUUCUGCGCCAGGACUCGCCCCAAAGUCAUUGGCAGCCCAGGCCGUCCGACCCGUCCGCAGCACAUUGCGUCGGCGGGUUCGAACGCGGCCUCCGCGUCCAGCAAGCUCUUCUUCUCAA
rnacentral:misc_RNA from 1 species